rfam:Gossypium hirsutum cultivar TM-1 chromosome 16, whole genome shotgun sequence
AAACUAUGGUGAGGGCACUUCGUAAUAAAUCAUUUAAUCGCUCUCAUGCCUCAUAUAGAGAUUCAUCAUCAAGUUGCUGGAUUGUAAUGAUCUCAUUCUGAAGCUU